UCUAGCCUGCUCACUGACAAAAAGUGUUAAAUAGCCGCGGUAUUUUGACCGUGCAAAGGUAGCAUAAUCAUUAGUUUUUUAAUUGGAAACUUGUAUGAAUGGUUGGACAAAGAAAAGACUGUCUCUUUUAUUAAAAUUGAAAUUAACUUCUAAGUGAAAAGGCUUAGAUUUUCUAGAGGGACGAUAAGACCCUAUAAAGCUUCAUAAGUUAAAUAAAUUAGAUGGAUUUUUAGAAUAAAAGUAAAUUUAGUAAGCUUAUUUAGUUGGGGCGACAAGGGUAUAAAAUUAAAUAACUGCUAUUAAGGUUAGACAAUUAUAUUUGGUUGGAUUGUAAUUGAUCCUCGCUAUGGAUUAAAAGAUUAAGUUACUUUAGGGAUAACAGCGUAAUUUCUUUUAAGAGUUCUUAUCAAAGGAGAAGUUUGCGACCUCGAUGUUGAAUUAAAAUGUCUUUAUAGUGCAGAAGCUAUAAAAGAAGGUCUGUUCGACCUUUAAUUUUUUACAUGAUUUGAGU
rnacentral:rRNA from 1 species